rnacentral:tRNA from 1 species
CGCGGAUAUAGAUGAAUUGGUAAAAUCAUUAGUUUUCCAAACUAAUUCAUUAAGGGUUCGAAUCCCUUUAUCCGU